rnacentral:lncRNA from 1 species
UUAAAUUUUAAAUUUUAAACUUCAAAUAUAGAUUUUAAAUUCUAUAUUUUAAAUUUUAAAUUUUAAAUUUUAAAUUUUAAAUUUUAAAUUUAUAUUUUAAAUUAAACUAUUAAAUUUAUGUUUUUGUUCAAAUUUAAAUUUACAAAUUUCAAUUUUAUAUUUUAAAUUAAAAUAUUAAAUUUUAUAUUUUUGUUCAAAUUUAAAAUUUAAAAUUUAAAAAUAAAAUGUAAAUCCAAAUAUUAAUUUAUGUAAAAUAAAAUUUAGUAAAAAAAUUAUUAUUUGUAAAUAGUAAAAAAUUUUGCCAAAUAUACCUAAGGGCAAUUUUAGAACAGAUUACACUUUCUUGUCAGAAUUACUUAAUUUUAUAAAGUAAAUUAAACAUAAUAAUGUUAUAUAUAUUGCAAUCCAAUAUUAUAUUACUGUAUUAAACCAAACGUGUUAAUGCAGCAUCAUUCAGAAAUCCAAAAUACCUGAAUAUGUUGAAAUAAUCUGUAAUAUUAAAUAACGCGAAUCAAACACGCCCUUAGAGGUUUGGCGAGUGUGUAGCUUUGAUGUAAAUUUCAAUUUUUAGCCACGCUAGGUUAUCUAAAUUUUAUCAAAUAGUUCAAUAAAUAGGGUAAAUUGCAUUGUUAACUCUGAACUUUUGGCGAAGUUUCACUUUACCCCUCGAACUCCUAAAAUGGACAUCUAACACCCUAAACUCUAAUAUUUCAUUCAUAUUACUCCUUCCGUCAGUUUUCCGUCAAGCUCCGUUAACAGGAAACUGACGGAAGGGGUAAAACGAAUGAAAUAUUAGAGUUUAGGGUACUAAAUGUCUAUUUUAGGAGUUUGGGGGGUUAAGUGAAACUCCCCAAAAGUUCAUGAGGUAGCAGUGCAAUUUACCGUAAUAUGUUACUUAUGGAUUGACUACUAACCCUCAAAUUAGUGAUCAUGCUUGAUUUUAAAUUUUUUUAUAUAUUUCUAGGGUUAAUUGCAUACACGUCCUUGCAAACAUAGUGAAUUGCAGAUAUAUCCCUGCAAAACUCAACUUUCAUAAUUUGUCCCUGCAAAAGUCCUAAUGUAUUCAGAUAUGUCCCUCUGGUUAGAAUCCGUUAGAGAACUGUUAAUUUUUUAACAGUAUGCUCAUGAAAUGACCUUUUUGCCCUCACAAAUAUGUCCCUCCAAAAGGACUCCCUCUUUCUCUUUCUCUUUCUCUUCGGGCCGUGGGAGCGGACGACAGCGGUGGCGCUUCGGCAAGGUCGUGGUCGGGUUCGCCGGCGACAAAGAAGAGGGAAGAAAAAAGGGGAGAGGAAGAAGAAGGGGAAAAAGGAAAAAUGAGAGGAAGAGGGAGAGGAAGAAGGAAGAGGAAGAGGGAGAGGGUUCGCAGCCGCCACCGCAUCUCCUCCCUCGCCGGCGACGAAGAAGAGGGAAGAGGAAGAGGGANGCGGCGGCGGCGGCGCGGGGUUGGGUUCGCCGGUGACGAAGAAGAGGGAAGAGAAAGAAGGAGAGGAAGAGAGAGAUGAAGAGGGAAGAGGAAGAGAAAGAGGGAGAGGGUUCGCCACCGCCGCCGCAUCUCAUCCUUUGCCGGCGACGAAAAAGAAGGAAGAAGAAAAGGGAUAGAAAGCAGAAGGAGGAAGAGGAAGAGGGAAGAGGAAGAGGGAGAGAAGAAGAAGAGGGUAAAAUUGUCAUUUCACUUAUUAAUUAACCAUGGUUAAGUAUUUUAACUAUGGUUAACGAAAUUUCUCUAAUAGAAACUAAUGGCAGGGACAUAUCUGAAUACAUUAGGACUUUUACAGGAAUAACUUAUGAAAGUUGAGCUUUACAGGGAUAUAUCUGUAAUUCACCAUGUUUGUAGGGACGUGUAUGCAAUUAACCCUAUUUUUUAUCCUAAAAUAAAUCAUACCAUAAUUUAUCCUAUAUUUUAUUGUAAUAAAAUAAAAGCGAAAGAAAUGAAUUAGAGUGGCUUAAAGAUAAAAAAAGAGCGAUACUAACUACCUACGAUGCUUGAACAUUCUACUGUCCUGAUGUACUCGCUAAUAUGGUUGAUUUACAAUAGGUGUCCUCACUCGGAUAUAGAGAUUUUAAUUCUCAGUUAAUUUUCUGUAGUACUCGUUUGCCUCUUUUAUCUUUAGAAGUAUUGUUCUCGAAAAUACACUUAUUUUCUAUGAAACUAUGAAAUGUAAUUUUAUUGUAGUAGUCUAAAUUAAAAUUUUUAUACUUCAUUUCAGCCAAUUAGAAAUUUUUAAUAUAAAAAUAUAAAAUAAUAUUUUAUAAUACUUUAGAACAGUGUUUCUAAAGAUAAAAGGGACAAACGAGUAUUACAGAAAAUUAACUGAGAAUUAAAAUCUCUGUAUCCGAGUGAGGACACCUAUUGUAAAACAACCAUAUUAGCGAGUACACUAGGACAGUAGAGUAUUCGAGCAUCAUAGAUAGUUAGUAUCACUCUUUUCUUAUCUUUAAGCCACUCUAAUUUAUUUCUUUCGCUUUUAUUUUAUUACAAUAAAAUAUAGAAUAAAUUAUGGUAUAAUUUAUUUUAGAAUAAAAAAAAUAUAAAUUUAAAAUCAAGCGUGAUCACUAACUUGAGGGUUAGUAGCCAAUCCAUAAUUAACAUAUUAUAAUAAAAUAAUUUAUAGUCAAGAGUACUACAAGGUAAAUUGCACUGCUAUCUCCUGAACUAUUGGCGAGUUUUACUUAACUCCCAAACUCUUAAAAUAGACAUCUAACACCCUAAACUCUAAUAUUUCAUUCGUUUUACCACUUCCGUCAGUUUUCGGUAAACGGAGCUUGACGGAAAACUGACGGAAGGGGUAUCAUGAAUGAAAUAUUAGAGUUUAUGGUGUUAAAUGUCCAUUUUAGGAGUUCGAGGGGUAAAGUGAAACUUCGCCA